AUCAGAUACCAGUUGAAGAGCUUUGUCAUAAGCUAAAUGAUCAAAGCUAGCAUAUUGUGAAGCUUCCGUAAUGUAACAAUUCAAAAAGCAUCUCACAGAUUGGUUGAUGGAAGGCAGAUUGAUUUACAGUGUACAUCCUGAUAGGUUAGGCAACGUAGUUGACACACAGUCAGAGAAGAAACGGAGCAUAAAAUAUACAAAUUUGCAGAACAUCAAGAUGUCAUGAGGAAGAACUCGAGAAGCUGGAGAUUUAUAAUGUUGGUUGUGGUAGAGCCACUAAACCAUCUAUCAUUCGCGGAAUUUGGUGAAGGUAGAAAUUCAGAUUUCAUCAACUGCAUAGCAUUCCUGAGAAAGACGCUGAGGGACCUUUACUACUAGCCUCAGUUUCAUCGCCACUCAUUUGAAUUUCAACAUCGGUAGAACGUAAUCCAUAGAAGGCCUCAUGUUGUCCUCUAGUUGCAGGCGUGGAAAAGCCAACUUUGCCACUGUGUGAGAUGCACUUUUUUCCCAUCGCAGCAUUUCAUUGGUACGUCUCUUCCAUUGCUCGGUUCACCUAAGAAUGUGCAUUGUUAGCUGCUCUAUAUAGAGAGAGUUAAUCAAAGUACUGUUACCUUCUAGAAAUCUGCCAAAUAUAAAGCUUAAGUCCAUAUGCUUCUUACCGUGGUAACCUGUUCCGAAACCUCCAUCAGUGUGUUCUGUAAAGGAAAUUUUGUGCACACAGCAUUAUUUAGUCAUAAGAAGUGCACGCACUAGCUGUCAAAUG
rnacentral:lncRNA from 1 species